rnacentral:rRNA from 1 species
UACGUAGGGGGCUAGCGUUGUCCGGAAUCAUUGGGCGUAAAGCGCGUGUAGGCGGCCAGAUAAGUCCGCUGUGAAAUCUCGAGGCUCAACUUCGAGCUGUCGGUGGAAACUAUUUGGCUAGAGUCCGGAAGAGGAGAGUGGAAUUCCUGGUGUAGCGGUGAAAUGCGCAGAUAUCAGGAGGAACACCGGUGGCGAAGGCGGAUCUCUGGGCCUUACCUGACGCUCAGGUGCGAAAGCUAGGGGAGCGAACAGG